rnacentral:tRNA from 1 species
CCGGGUGUAGCGCAGUUGAUAGCGCGCCAGCUUUGGGAGCUGGAUGUCGUGGGUUUGAGUCCCACCACUCGGA